rnacentral:rRNA from 1 species
CAUGUUUGUAUGGAGAUUAUAUAUAAUUUGACCUGCCCACUGAAUUGAAAAGUUUAAAGGGCCGCGGUAAUUUGACUGUGCAAAGGUAGCAUAAUCAGUAGUCUUUUAAUUAGAGGCUGGAAUGAAUGGUUGGACGAGAGGAAUUCUGUCUUUUUCGAGGGGUUUGAAUUUAACUUUUAAGUGAAAAGGCUUAAGUGAGCUAGAGGGACGAGAAGACCCUAUAAAGUUUAAUAGAUAGUUUUAUCUGAUUGAGAUGAAAUAAGAAUUAGAUAGGAGGAGUUUAUUUUGUUGGGGAGGCAAGAACAUAAAUGUAACUGUUCUAGGUAUAAAAAUAUAUAUAAUUAGUUUAAGAGCCUUUAGUAGGGAUUAAUAGAUUAAGUUACUUUAGGGAUAACAGCGUAAUUUUUUUUAAGAGAUUAGGUAUCGAAGAAAGUAGUUGCGACCUCGAUGUUGAAUUAAAGUUUCACCUAGGUGCAGGAGCUUGGGUUGUAGGUCUGUUCGACCUUUAAAACU